rnacentral:tRNA from 1 species
GUGGUUAUAGCUCAAUGGUAGAGUGUGUGCUUAGCAUGCACGAGGUCCUGGGUUCAAUUCCCAGCAUCUCCA